rnacentral:snRNA from 1 species
AUCCUAACUUCGUAGCCU